GAUGAACGCUGGCGGCGUGCCUAAUACAUGCAAGUCGAGCGAACAGACGAGGAGCUUGCUCCUCUGACGUUAGCGGCGGACGGGUGAGUAACACGUGGAUAACCUACCUAUAAGACUGGGAUAACUUCGGGAAACCGGAGCUAAUACCGGAUAAUAUAUUGAACCGCAUGGUUGAAUAGUGAAAGACGGUUUUGCUGUAACUUAUAGAUGGAUCCCGGCCGCUUGAGCUAGUUGGUAAGGUAACGGCUUAUCAAGGCAACUAUGCGUAGCCGACCUGAGAGGGGGAUCGCCCACACGGGAGCGUGGACACGGUCCAGACGCCUACGGGAGGCAGCAGUAGGGAAUCUGACGCAAUGGGCGAAAGCCUGACGGAGCAACGCCGCGUGAGUGGUGAAGGUCUUCGGAUCGUAAAACUCUGUUAUGAGGUAAGAACAAAUUUGUAAGUAACUAAGCACGUCUUGACGGUACCUAGUCAGAAAGCCACGGCUAACUACGUG
rnacentral:rRNA from 1 species